GUACACGCUGUGACUAGCAUAUCAAUAAGCGGAGGAAAAGAAACUAACAAGGAUUCCCCUAGUAACGGCGAGUGAAGCGGGAAGAGCUCAAAUUUGAAAUCUUAAAGGGUUUCCCUUUACGAAUUGUAGUUUAAAGAAGUGUUUUCUGUUGAGGUUUUGGUAAAAGUUCUUUGGAAUAGGACAUCAUAGAGGGUGAGAAUCCCGUAUUUGACCUUUACUUUCAACUUUGUGAUACACUUUCAAAGAGUCGGAUUGUUUGGGAAUGCAGUCCAAAAUGGGUGGUAAAUUUCAUCUAAAGCUAAAUAUUGGCGAGAGACCGAUAGCGAACAAGUACCGUGAGGGAAAGAUGAAAAGAACUUUGAAAAGAGAGUUAAACAGUACGUGAAAUUGUCGAAAAGGGAAGCGUUUGACACCAGUGUUGUUUUUCUGAAAAUCAAUUAAAGAACUGUUUAUGCUAAGUUGUUUAGACUUUAUCAGCUAACUGUUUAGUUUUGAGCUUUUCUUUAAUGCACUUUUCAGUUAACAAGUCAACAUCAAUUUCUUUUGCUGUAAAAAAGCUUGAGGAAGGUGGCUUGAGAUUCGUCUUAAGUGUUUAUAGCCUCUUGCCUAUGCAGUCGGAGAGAUUGAGGUCUGCAGCGUAGAUCCUUCGGGGCUAAAUGCAUUUGUGCUAAGUUAUAGCAUUUUAUAGACAACUUGUUGACUAUGAUUUGUCUUGUAGCUUACUCGCUUAUGUUAUUUUACCUACGCUUAGGAUGUUGAAGAUGUAGCACAUCAU
rnacentral:rRNA from 1 species